GUUGCUUAACACAUGCAAGUCGAACGAGGUCCACUGCGUAGCAAUACAAGGGAGACCUAGUGGCGAACGGUGCGUAACACGUGAGGGAACUUUGUCCCGGGUCUACUUGGGAUAACAGUUGGAAACGACUGCUAAUACCGGAUGACGUCGGAAUCUCGCAUGGGAUACUGACGAAAGGGUUACUGGAUCGGGAGAGCCUCGCGGCCUAUCAGCUUGUUGGUGAGGUAACGGCUCACCAAGGCAUCGACGGGUAGCUGGUCUGAGAGGAUGAUCAGCCACACUGGGACUGAGACACGGCCCAGACUCCUACGGGAGGCAGCAGUGGGGAAUCUUGCGCAAUGGGCGAAAGCCUGACGCAGCAACGCCGCGUGCGGGAAGAAGGCCCUCGGGUUGUAAACCGCUUUCAGUAGGAACGAAAAUGACGGUACCUGCAGAAGAAGGUGCGGCCAACUACGUG
rnacentral:rRNA from 1 species